CUAAAUCGACAUGGAUGGAUAUAUUUUGAUAUACUCUUUAAAUUCUCGAACGAAUUAUUCCUAUACAUUCUAUUCGAUGAUACAAAGCUAUAAACAUCUCUGGUCCAUCCAUCAGAUUGUUAGAUUGAAUUUUGACCCCAUGAUAUCUCUCUCUCCCUCCUCAAGCCUAAACCCAUAUAGAGAGAUAUAUUUCGAUAUACUCUUUCGAUUUUCGAACAGAUUGUUCCUACACGUUUCAUUUGAUGAUAUGGAUGUAUCUACACCUCUAUCCCAUCCAUCAGAUAAAAAGAUUAAAAAAUAAAUAAAUUAAUUAAAAUUAUUCAAAAAUGGCUCCAUUUACCAUAGGGCCAACUCUUGCUGCAUGCCAGUCUUCUCCAGCGUGC
rnacentral:lncRNA from 1 species